rnacentral:rRNA from 1 species
GAUGAACGCUGGCGGCGUGCCUAAUACAUGCAAGUCGAGCGAACGGACGAGAAGCUUGCUUCUCUGAUGUUAGCGGCGGACGGGUGAGUAACACGUGGAUAACCUACCUAUAAGACUGGUAUAACUUCGGGAAACCGGAGCUAAUACCGUAUAAUCUUUUGAUCCGUAUUGUUCAAAAGUGAAAGACGGUCUUGCUGUCACUUAUAGAUGGAUCCGCGCUGCAUUAGCUAGUUGGUACGGUAACGGCUUACCAAGGCAACGAGGCAUAGCCGACCUGAGAGGGUGAUCGGCCACACUGGAACUGAGACACGGUCCAGACGCCUACGGGAGGCAGCAGUAGGGAAUCUGACGCAAUAGGCGAAAGCAUGACGGAGCAAGGCCGCGUGAGUGAUGAAGGUCUUCGGAUCGUAAAACUCUGUUAUUAGGGAAGAACAGAUGUGUAAGUAAAUGUGCACAGAGUGACGGUACCUAAUAAGAAAGCAACGGCUAACUACGUG